UUUCUUUUAUCCUUAUCGUUUUCUUUUCUCUUUUUUUUCCUUUUUUUUGGAAUAUGGAAAUGACCCCACCUCCUUAAGCAUCCCACUACUUAUAAACACUGUAUGCGUUGAGCUAUACACGUCUCAAUUUGAUGAGACCGCAUCUGCAACUGUGAGAAAGAUAUUGUCUUGGCCUAUCAAAUCUACAAACUCCGACGCGUGUAGUUUGUCCAUCACCACGGGCCCUGGAUUUGCUAGAAUGAGCUGUUUCCAUUUACCAACAUAACUUCAGGUUAGGAGUUUUGAUUUCAAAAAGUUCAUUGAUCAUCAUAUUGAUUGUUGUCCGAAAUUAUAUGAAUUGGUUGUAUAUUAAACUAGUUGUGCUGAUUCUGUAAAAAGGUGAAGAUUUUACCUGAAUUUCUCGUUUCUUCAGACUCCCAUUUAGCUCUUCCAAAGCAUGUAUGCCACUGGUGUCUAUGUCAGUAACAGCUUCAGCAUAAAACACAAACAGUAUUUAGUUU